GUCCCACCAGAUCUCGGAGUCGGUGCUGGCCAAUUACGGUUGGGUCCGCUGGGCUCGUGAUGGCCGCUUGAAGGGCGAGUGCGCGAGAGCAAGGGCCGGGAUCCCGAACUAGCACGCGGGCCGGUGCGGACGGUUGGAAACGGCGGUGUGUGAGGUAUUUGUAUAUUGUUGCUGAAUAAUGGGGGAGAUAGAAGGAACGUACAGAAUACUGCAGACUCCUGGUUCUCGUUUGGGAGUCCAGAAGAACACUGGAGUGAGUACGCUGGAGCCAGAGCAGAACCUUUCUAUGGCAAUGACACCUGCCAAAAUGCAUGAGGGGGAUCUACCGAUCAAAAUAAAACUGUUGGACAACACUGUGGAAGUACUUAAUGUUGAGUCCAAGUGCUCUGGCCAGACAUUGCUGACAGAGGUUUAUAAGCAUUUGAAUUUGGUUGAGUCCGACUACUUUGGAAUUGAGUUCCAGAACAUCCAGUCAUAUUGGAUUUGGCUUGAACCUAUGAAACCUAUCGUUAAACAAGUACGAAGACCAAAGAACACAGUGCUUCGUCUAGCUGUAAAGUUUUUCCCUCCUGACCCUGGUCAGCUGCAAGAGGAAUACACCAGGUAUCUAUUUGCAUUACAAAUCAAGAGAGACUUGGCAGAGGAACGACUAACCUGCAGUGACAACACAGCAGCUCUGAUCAUCUCUCAUCUUCUGCAGUCGGAGAUUGGGGAUUUCGAUGAAUCUGGGGAUCGUGAUCACCUAAAAACAAACCAAUACUUGCCAAACCAGGAAAGAGUACAAGGAAAGAUACUGGAGUUUCACAGGAAGCACUUGGGCCAAACUCCUGCUGAGUCAGAUUUCCAGGUGCUUGAAAUUGCUCGGAAACUGGAGAUGUAUGGCGUUAGAUUCCACCUUGCAUCUGACCGUGAGGGAUCAAAAAUUAGCCUGGCUGUUUCACACAUGGGCGUACUAGUUUUCCAGGGUACCAUAAAAAUCAACACCUUCAACUGGUCUAAGGUCCGUAAAUUAAGCUUCAAGAGAAAAAGGUUUCUUAUCAAGCUACACCCAGAAGUCCAUGGUCCAUAUCAGGAUACGCUGGAGUUCCUGUUUGGCAGUAGGGAUGAGUGUAAAAACUUCUGGAAAAUCUGUGUGGAAUAUCACACUUUCUUCAGGCUGUUUGAUCAGCCAAAACCAAAGGCUAAAGCAGUCUUCUUCAGCAGAGGGUCUUCAUUCAGAUACAGUGGACGAACACAGAAACAACUGGUGGAUUAUGUUAAAGACAGUGGGAUGAAGAAAACUCCCUAUGAAAGGAGGCACAGCAAAGUUAGAGUGUCUGCUCACACUUCGAACACAGAUGUGCCAAAACAGAGUGUCUCAUUUACUGAGGGCUUAAGUGCUCCUGGGUCCCAUGCCUCAGUAUCUGCCUCCUUCCCUUCAGUUUAUACAUCAUCCACUACCACUACUGAUGUAUCCAUCUGUAUGGAGACGAAUCAUUCCUUCUUGGACCCCAGAGCACCGUAUAUGAGGAGUCCAACAACAGAAAAGAGUAUUGCAGUACCAACUGAAGAAACUAGGAAGAAAGCAACACAGCAGCCUGGAUCUCCCAUACUCCAUUCAUUCCAAGGUGUUGGGUUUUGUAAUGUUGUAGGAAACUGCAACCCCACUUAUACUGGUGUUGAGAGUAGUUGUGGUUUAGAUCUGGAAAUAGAGAAGGGUAACCAGGAGAGCAGGGUUAUCUUUAAAAAUGACAAUGAUGAGGAUGACUUUACCACAGGUGUUUUUAUUGCUGAUAAAAAGCAUCAGUAUUGCAGUAGGGGUGACCCUCUUUUCACAUUGACGAACUCCCAGCUGCAGGUUUCAGAAGAAUUUAUUGAUGAUGAUCCAACAGAAAUCUCCUUUUUUGCUGGGGGAUCUGAAGCAUUUUCAUAUGUGUACAGUGGCUUAGACCAAGUGGGGUCUGAUUUAUCUAGGCAUGCAUCAGAUUCAGCUAAACUAACUAAGGAUGUUCUUCAGCAAAGUAUGGUGUCUUCUCAGUCAAGCCCUGACAGAUACUCCAUAGAAGCAGUAGAUAUGAACAUGGAAGAUGAGUUUGAAUUUGAAGGGAGUGAUUUCAAUGGCAAUGAGAGGCCAUCAGAUACAUCAGAAUUGUUUGAGGUUAAAGCACAAGCAAGCAGAAUGCAAAGCCUUUUGAGUCCUUCUGAAACCAGUUCACUCAUAAACAACCGUUCUGAAAGCAGUUCCCUCAAUAAUUUGCCACUGAAUAGUGCAUCAUCCUUUCACACGUAUAGCUCUGCUAUUCAUUCUGAAGCUAGUUCUAUGGUUAACUUCCCAGCCUACUCGGUUCGCUCUGAAUCCAGCUCAGCCUUUCAGUUCACUGACAUCAUUGACCAGUUGGAGCAGCUGAGCUGUCCACUUACUACUACAGAAGACUCUACCAGUACAGAUACAGACUCUUGGGAUUCGGAAAGUGCAGCUCCAAUGGAUGGAAACCACUUCUUCAGCAACCCCUUUGCUCGGGCAACUGGCCUCUCAAUGGACCACCCUCAGCUCUCUUCUUUCAAAUUCAAGAGUCCACAGAGCUUGAACCCCACAUUUCAGGUGAAUUUGAACCCAGCUAGCCAGGGUUCAUCUCCUCUUCUGAGUCCUGUCCUGAGCGAUGCUGGCAGUGCCCGGGAGGAAGAGGAAGAGGAAGUAAAACGCAAGCAAUAUCCAACAGAGAAGGUGUAUUUCAUAGCAAAAGAGAUUCUUGCUACUGAACGGACAUAUGUGAAAGACCUAGAAGUCAUUACAGUAUGGUUCCGCAGUGCAGUCAUCAAAGAGAACGCCAUGCCUGGAGGUCUGAUGACACUGCUCUUCUCUAAUAUAGAUCCAAUCUAUGAGUUUCACCGAAGUUUCCUGAAAGAGAUGGAGCAGAGGGUAGCACUCUGGGAAGGACAAUCCAACUCUCAUGUGAAAGGAGAUUAUCAACGGAUUGGAGAUGUCAUGCUGAGGAACAUGUGCAUGCUGAAGGAGUUUACCAGCUACUUGCAGAAACAUGAUGAGGUCCUGACAGAACUGGAGAAAGCAACUAAGCACUUAAAGAAAUUGGAAAUGGUUUAUAAGGAGUUUGAAUUGCAAAAGGUUUGCUAUCUGCCACUCAACACUUUCCUGCUCAAGCCCAUCCAACGGCUGAUACACUACAAGCUGAUCCUGGGGAGACUUUGCAAGCACUACACAGUAGAACACCAGGACUAUGCCGACUGCAGGAAUGCACUGAAGGAGGUUACAGAGAUGACAUCUCAGCUCCAAAACAGCCUGAUCCGCCUGGAGAAUUUCCAGAAGCUGACAGAGCUACAACAUGACUUGAUUGGCAUUGAUAACCUCAUAGCACCUGGCAGAGAAUUUAUCCGGGAGGGUUGCUUGUACAAGCUCACUAAAAAAGGUUUACAGCAGAGGAUGUUCUUUCUGUUCUCAGAUAUGUUGCUGUACACAAGCAAAGGAGUCACGGGUACCAAUCAGUUCAAAAUUCAUGGACACCUUCCUCUGCAUGGCAUGCUGUUAAUAGUGCUGGAUCCUCCGGUGGAAGAGAGUGAGAAUGAAUGGUCUGUCCCACACUGCUUCACAAUCUAUUCAGCUCAGAAAACAAUAGUAGUGGCAGCAAGUACCCGUUUGGAGAUGGGGAAGUGGAUGGAAGACCUAAACAUGGCGAUUGAAAUGGCCAAAAAAUCGAGUGAGAAAUAUGACAUGUUUUUGGAAAACUCCAUGUGUAAUCGCUCUAACAGAUCCUCUGAUGAGGUCUCUCUAGAGCAGGAAUCCGAAGAUGACAUACAGUCUUCUCGUAGCUCCCUGGACAGGCAGAGCCACCACCGUGCCAACACUACAAUGCACGUGUGCUGGUACCGCAACACCAGUGUCUCCAUGACUGACCACAGUGUGGCUGUCGAGAAUCAGCUUUCAGGGUACCUGCUGAGGAAAUUCAAAAAUAGUAAUGGCUGGCAAAAGCUCUGGGUUGUCUUCACCAACUUCUGUUUGUUCUUCUACAAAACUCACCAGGAUGAUUAUCCGUUGGCUAGUCUCCCACUACUUGGCUACACAGUCAGCACCCCAGUGGAGGCAGAUGGCAUUCAGAAGGAUUAUGUCUUCAAGUUGCAGUUCAAGUCCCAUGUGUAUUUCUUCAGGGCUGAGAGCAAGUACACCUUUGAGAGGUGGAUGGAAGUGAUUAAGAGAGCCACAAAUUCUCCAGGGAGAUCGAGCCUGUUGAUUCCCAUGGAUGAAAAGGAUCUUCGCACAAACUGAAGGGAACAGAGCUGGGUCUCUGCUGUAGACAUCUGUAGUGCGAUGGGAUGGAACCAGAAGUGUGGGGGAGAGGGGUUGAUAAAGCAGUAACAUGAGAUGCUUGUUUCCACCUGGUAUGGAAGUUAGAUGGACAAGGGGAGUGAAGAACGGGGGUCACAUCAGGUUAGACUGGACUAGAAGAUGUAAAGUCUGCUACAGUCCAAGCUAACUGGAGAGAUAAUGAAUCUUAACAAUAGCUGCAAAAUUUCCAUUCCACGGGAAUCCCAUAGUUUGCUGUGUGCGUGCAUUGCAUUCCAGUUACAGGUUCUGUAUGAUAUACAGUGACAUGUCCUGAUGGAGACAGAUGGCCAUGUUCAUUGUGAUUGGGUGUGUCAAUUGUGUUUCUUGGUCCAUAACUGCGGGUAUCAGGCUUUCUGGCCCCUGGGAGUUCCCUUCUGACAGUGUGGCUAAACCUCUGGACUGUCGGCUGCCGUAGCUUCAACCUGCUGGCCACAAGCUUCUUGGACUAACUGGGGAUAUGCAGCUGUAAGGCCUGAAUUCACUUUAAUUUCAAACAGAAAAUACAGCUGCUGUAAAAUCACGGAGCUCUUCAGGAAAUUGCCAUGGCAACAACUUCACUUUUUUCCGGGGAUGGGGGGAAAUGGGGAGAACAUGAAGCUUUUAGUUUUAGAGGUAUCGCAUUUUACAGCUUGGAGCAGGAGACCUGUAUGAGAGAACACACAUGGUUUUCUUAGAGCUCAGAGCCUGCUGUGCUGCAUGCUGAGGGGCCUACCAGAUAUAUUUAUUAUUCCUCCAGAGUCCUUUGCAUCCAUCAUGGAGUGGAGGGCUCCUCUUACAAACCCUUUAAUCACCCUCCACUAGUGAGACAUUCUUAAGGCAGGGAUGGCCAAAGAACUAACCACAACAUCCUUCAGUACAAUAUGUUGCUGCUCUUGAGUGGUAUUUUCAAAGGUGCCUAAGUGACAUAGGCAUAUAAGCCCCAUUGAAAGUCACUGAUACUUGUGUUCCUAUGCUACUUAAGCAUGUUUGAAAAUCCCAGCCCUUAACUCUCUGGAGGUGGCAUCCAUCUUCAGCUUUAACAUGGUGUGAUGGUCACCUGCAUCAAGGUGGAGCAUUAUAUCCUGGCACCUGCCCCCCUGUGGGGUGGUGUCACCAUAUUCAAGAUAAAAAUAGUUUGUCUGCCCCACUUCCUGCGGAUAUGCUGUUUCCUUUGGAUGCUGUGCAAUGCAGCACUUGAUUGGGCAAGUUAUGGAUGCCCCUGAUCUAAGGACUGGUAAAGUUGUAAUAAGCUGAAAGUAAUAAAUGCUGCUGAUAGGUAACAUAGCUUAGAGGGGCUGAUUUUUAUUUCAGGUGGAAAAGUAUUUGUGUCAGGGAAGAAACAAUAAGGUGUUAGAGAGAGAUAAGAAAGUGCUGUGUGUUGUGAGGAUGGCAGAAAGAAGAGGAAAGCAGACACACCUGUGGAACACGAGAGAUGCAGGGGCUUGCAUGUGCAACUGUUUCCCCAGAGAGACUCCUGGGUUGUGUUGGUUCAAAGUCUGACGUGUGCUGGAUGAGAAAGGACUAGGAUCCCAGAUGGGAGGACUCUAGGUAGAAGAUUUCAUGACCUUUCACUUGGCACCUUCAUCCAUAAAGGAGCAGAGACUGGACCAGUGCAUCAUGAUGGUUGUCCAUUCUCUGCAGCUUGAGGGAAGAAGUUUGGACUCCAUAACAGGUGGUUGAGCUUCUACAGUCUUCAUCUGUUUUCCUGGAUGAUGCUCUGCUUGCCUCUUCUUCCCAAGAGCAGUAAUGCACGUUAUGAACAUCCAGGGUCUGUUUGAAAGGAAGGCGUGAAACCAGUUUAGAGUGGAGCUUCCCUUUUGAAUGAGAAAUCCCCAGCCGCCGUCCUUGGGAUUUCAACUGCUUGUUAAUCUCUUACAGUGGGGAUCUGCAGAGGCAAUUUUCAUGAAGGAGAAAAGAGGGUUACCUAUCAGUAAUUGAAGUUUUCUGAGUAUGUCCACACUGACUCUCCUCCAUAGCCUUUUGCUUAGACUUUGAGACAGAGAGGAGUUAGACUGUUAAGAGGAAAGGGCCUUCUACAGCGAUGGUUUAAAACAUUGUUGUAUAGCUCUAGUUAUCUGCUGUUGCUUUUACUUCUUUAAAUGAUUCCAUGGCUUGUGAGUGUGGCAUGCAACUUCCUAGUGUAGAUGUGCAGAGGCAGUAUGUCUGAAAAACCCAUUACUGGUAAGUUAGAUGCCUUUCUCAGCUUUGCCCCAAGUGAACAUUUUCUCACAUCAUCUGAUAUUACUUAUCAUCUGCUCUGGAGAGACAGGGACCUGGAAUAGCAGAGAGGAUUAUGUUACAUUGGCAGAGCUGUAUAGAAAGAGCUUGCACAACACCUCUGUACAAUGCCUGGCACUGACUCACUUUCUCAAGAGCCAGAGUUUGCCACUCUGCAAGCAACAAGACUCAGUAAGUUCAAAUAUUCCAUACAUGCUGACUGGGCCUUGUAGUGUCUCAUUGAUUUAGUACAAGGAUGGACAACUGGUGGCCCAGAGGCCACACCAGACCCACUGGAUCAUUUUCUUUGGCUCACCACAGCCCAGCUUGGGGUAGGUGAUCCAGCAGCGCCAGAGCCAGGAAGAGGGCGGGUGGCACAUCCUGAGGCGAACGCCCUGCGUGUGCAUGGAUGCAUUUGUCACAUCACGCUGUGGUGAGAGCCAACAGACCAGAUCAGGGGGGUUGGUGCAGCCCCCAGCAGACAGGAGCUGUUGCUGCUGCAGAGUGAGUGCAGGAUGGACUUUCUCUCUAACUCACCCUGGUGCCUCCCACCCCCGCAUCGCACUGCCUGGCCCACCAAAGUGUGUUAGGUAGUUGCCCAUCUCUGAUUUAGUUUCUAGCCUUAAGCAACCCAGUGCACUACCAUCUACCUUAUAUAUUAGAAGAGGAAGGUCCUGAAGAGUAAGUUACAUGCAUUGACAAGUAUUGCAUUAUUGAUUUCACCUGAUCAAAAAGCAAUACUCUUUGAAAAAGCUCUUGAAAAAAAAACUAGGGCUGUGGAUUAAUCAGUUAACUCAUGCAAUUAACAAAAAAAUGAAACGUGAUUAAUUGCACUGUUAAUCACACUAUUAAACAAUAUACUACCAAUUGAAAUAUAUUAAGUAUUUUCUACAUUUUCAAAUAUUUUAUUUGAAUUUACAACACAGCAUACAAAGUGUAUAGUGCUCACUUUCUAUUGUUGUUACAAAUAUUUGCACUGUAAAAAUGAUAAACAAAAGAAAUGGUAUUUUUCAGUUCACCCCAUACAAGUACUGUGGUGGAAUCUUUAUCAUGAAAGUGCAACUUACAAAUGUAAAUUUUUUUUUGUUACGUUUCUGCACUCAAACAAAAUUGUGUAAAAUUUUGAGCAAACAAAUCCACUCAGUCCUAUUUCUUCUUCAGCCAAUCAUGAAGAUAAACAAGUUUGUUUACAUUUACAGGAGAUACUGCUGCCCACUUCUUAUUUACAAUGUAACCUGAAAAUGAGAACAGGUGUUUGCAUGGUACUUUUUCAGCCGGCAUUCCUAGGUAUUUACAUGCCAAACAUUCAUACGUUGCUUCAUGCUUUGGCCACCAUUCCAGAGGACAUUCUUCCAUGCUGACGUUGCUCAUUAAAAAAAUAAUGCAUUAAUUUGUGACUGCACUCUUUGGGGGAGAAUUGUAUGUGUUCUACUCUUUUACCUGCAUUCUGCCAUAUAUUUCAUGUUGUGGCAAUCUUGGAUGAUGACCAGCAUAUGUUGUUUGUUUUAAGAACACUUUCACUGCAGAUUUGACAAAAUGCAAGAAGGUACCAAUGUGAGAUUUCUAAAAGUAGCUAAAACACUUGACCCAAGGUGCCUUCCAAAAUCUGAGAUGGACGAGUCGUGGAGCAUGUUUUCAGAAAUCUUAAAAGAGCAACAGUCUGAUGGAAACUACAGAACCUGAACCACCAAAAAAAAGAAAAUCAGCCUUCUGCUGGUGGCAUCUGACUCAGAUGAUGAAAGUGAAUGUGCAUCAGUCUGUACUGCUUUAGAUCAGUAUCGAGCAGAACCUGUCAUCAGCAUGGAUGCAUGUCCUCUGGAAUGAUGGGCAAAGCAUGAAGGGACAUAUGAAUCUUUACUGCAUCUGGCACAUAUCUUGUGAGGCCAGCUACAACAGUGCCAUGCAAACACCUGUUCUCACUUCAGGUGGCAUU